CUCCUUUAGCUCAGUUGGUUAGAGCGUCGUGCUAAUAGACACGCGAAGGUCAUAAGUUCGAUCCUUAUAAGGAGCA
rnacentral:tRNA from 1 species